UACAGAGGUCUCAAGCGUUGUUCGGAAUCACUGGGCGUAAAGCGUGCGUAGGCUGUUUCGUAAGUCGUGUGUGAAAGGCGCGGGCUCAACCCGCGGACGGCACAUGAUACUGCGAGACUAGAGUAAUGGAGGGGGAACCGGAAUUCUCGGUGUAGCAGUGAAAUGCGUAGAUAUCGAGAGGAACACUCGUGGCGAAGGCGGGUUCCUGGGCAUUAACUGACGCUGAGGCACGAAGGCCAGGGGAGCGAAAGGG
rnacentral:rRNA from 1 species